rnacentral:rRNA from 1 species
ACGGAGAGGGCAAGCGUUGUUCGGAUUUAUUGGGCGUAAAGCGCGCGUAGGUGGCAUGGUAAGUCGGAUGUUAAAGACCCACGGCCCACCCGGGGGAAUGCGUCCGAUACUGCUGUGCUAGAGUGCGGGAGAGGAAAGUGGAAUUCCUGGUGUAGCGGUGAAAUGCGUAGAUAUCAGGAGGAACACCGGUGGCGAAGGCGACCUGCUCGGCCUUGCCUGACGCUCAGACGCGAAAGCAUGGGGAGCGAACGG